UGAACCUCUGUUCUGUUACAGGUUUAAACCAGUUUCUGAUGAUGUAAACUGGUUUGUGUGUAACUUCUCUCCCUAGCACCAGUAAUAUUGGUGGCGAGCCUGGUGCAGCCUGUGGAUAAAUGAACUCAUUUACCCCUUCUUGCAGCAGACUGGCUAUGAUGUGUGUUGCUGCCUUAGUCAUCAAGUAGCCAUCAGUCAUCUUUCCAGAAGCAUGAGCAACAGGAGGGUAAAAAUUCCACUGAAUGGGGAAGUUUCAGAAAACAAGCUAGGAUGUGUAGUGUCCCUGACUAUUAAGAUGAGAGCUGCAUUUCAUGACAGAAAGCAACAAACAGGAACAUCUAAUCUGUCCCUAGAGAUUUGGAGGCUCUGUAUGGGUGAGACCAAAUCCAAACCACUACUGGCUUAGGUGCCCUAACCCUGUUAUACUCCUGUCCCGUAUCAGGUCACGAGAAAGCGGACCGGCUAGAAAUCAGCUUUCUGCACAUGUACCCCGUAAUCCGUUUGACAUGAGUGGUUGGU
rnacentral:lncRNA from 1 species